UACGGGGGGGGCAAGCGUUGUUCGGAAUUACUGGGCGUAAAGAGCUCGUAGGCGGCCAACUAAGUCAUACGUGAAAUCCCUCAGCUUAACUGGGGAACUGCGUGUGAUACUGGAUGGCUUGGAUUUGGGAGAGGGAUGCGGAAUUCCAGGUGUAGCGGUGAAAUGCGUAGAUAUCUGGAGGAACACCGGUGGCGAAGGCGGCAUCCUGGACCAAUAUUGACGCUGAGGAGCGAAAGCCAGGGGAGCAAACGGG
rnacentral:rRNA from 1 species